rnacentral:rRNA from 5 species
UCUAAUACCGGAUAACACUUCUUCGGGCAUCUGAAGAGGUUAAAAGCUCCGGCGGUGAAGGAUGAGCCCGCGGCCUAUCAGCUUGUUGGUGGGGUAAUGGCCUACCAAGGCGACGACGGG